UGUUUCUUUAAUUUAGGCAGGUGCUUCCUGUGGCGGAGGUGCAAAGCCGCACAGAUCGGCCUCUGGGUCUGUCCCAGCUAUUUUAUUUAUGCUAUCAUUAGAUGGAGCCCCCAAAGCAGGCGAUGCGAUUGGGAGCAAGAAGGCUAAAAGUUCACGGCAUGGCAAAAUUUAGCAGGUAUCUUACCAGCCGCCUCUGCCAACUAAGUGAUGCUUUACAAGCACCAGCCGGACAGCCAGGCCAAGACACCUGAGGAGACGGGCUCGCUCUCCUUUUGCUGCUCUUCAGAUGUCAGAGGAAGCCCCUCCCGCCCCUUCCUUGGAGGCGGCGGCGCCCGUCUGAAUUGUGGCAGCGGCAGCUUCAGUCCCUGGGCGGAGUGGCAUAUUUCUGCUCUCAGCGGGUAGCUAAUAACAACAAGCCCUAUUUACCAGUUCCCUAUCUCAUCUCUCCCCAUAGUCUCUUUCAUGCCGGGGCGCGUGUCCCUUCAGCCACCCCCCGCUCACGCCGCCUUUUCUUGCCGCGCCUUCCUCCUCACCUUGGUACCGGCGGGAGACGACGUGACAGGCGGCGAGAAGCAGGACGGCGCCCAGCGCUAACGCCUUGGCGCUCCUCACGCUGAAGUAGUGGUUGAUCUCCCGCUUGCCCAAGGUGUAGGCCAGGGCCGCCAUCUUGGCUCCUCCAUGACAACAGUGCGCGAAGGAGCGGUCGGGCGCGCAGGGGCAGCACUGGGUCCCCAGUGGGGACGGCGAAGGAGAGAGGAGACGCCGCUUCUGCCGCCGCCACCAGCGCAAGACAGAGAAGCCCAGCGAGGCCCCCGCAGCUGGGGACGAGUCGCCGCAGUCGUCGCCGUCUUCUUCCUCCACCUCACUCAGCAGCAGCGCGACCCCUUCCUCUUCGUCCGGGCGGCGCCGCUUCACCUCAGCAGCCAGGGAACCGCCCGUCUUUCCCUCAGUCUCCUGCAGUGGCGGAGGGUGGGAAUGGCGUUGCCCCCUACAGCCAUCCGCGACCCCCUCCCGUUGCGGCGGUUGGCCCGCUACCGCCCCUCGCGGUUCCCCAGUGCCUGGCCCCUCCUCUGCCGCAGACAUGAGAGAGCGGGGUGGGGGGUCCCGAGCGCUCGUUUCUCUCUCAGGCGAAACGGGAUUUGGGAGAGAAAGCGAAACUGGGAAUAAGAGAAGUUAUUGCUUCUUGCAGCCUACUCGGCUCCCCGCGCUCGAACUGCUUUACAGUUCCUGAUUUAACCUGACAGGAGUUUCCUCCUUCACCUGCCUAACCAGCUGGGUAGGCAAAACGAAGGCCACCACUCCUGUGGGUGGGUAUCAAAGUCCCUUGUCAAGUUGUUGGGUACGAUUGCUCCGUCAGGUAAGCCUAUAAGAAGACCGUCCUGCUGGAUCAGACCCAAGGCCCAUCUAGUCCGGCGUCCUGGACUAACAGGUGCCCUAGCAGAUGCCUAUGAUAAGGGAGCCCACAAGCAAGACCUGAGCGCAAGAGUCGUCUCCUGCUUUUGUCCCCCAGUGAUUGGUAGUACUGGAGGAUCAAACAGGUGAGCACAGGAAAGAUGACUGGAAUAACCUCGGAUAGAGCAGAGAACCAUCACAUGUGGUGAUAGUCUAUGCUGUACUUUCCAUCAUGAAGGAGGUGAUCAGAGAAGUGUAUAGUUUUUCUUCAUGAUAUGACACCAGUAUCACCAAUCAGGCAGCCUUACAAGAUCAGCCACACAGGACCUCCUCUCGGUCCCACCGGUCAAAACAGCUGUGCGGACCAGGGAGAGGGCGUUCUCGGUUGUGGCCCCCACGCUCUGGAACUCUCUCCCUUAUGAUCUCCGACAUGCCUCCUCCCUGGUGGGUUUUCGCCGAGCUCUUAAGACCUGGCUAUUCAGGCAGGCCUAUAGGAAUUGUGGGGUGGAUUAGCUUUUUGAUAUAUUAUUGGAUGUUUUCUGAUGUUAGAUUAAUUGAUAAUUGUGUUUUGAUUGUUAUUGUAUUUUCAUAUGUUGUUGUAAGUUGCCUAGCGUGUCCGAUAACUCGGACAGAUAGGCGACUAACAAAUAAAAUUUUAUUAUUAUAUUAUUAAAAUCAUGCACAAAAUUGCCUUGAUUUUGC